AACGAACGCUGGCGGCAUGCCUAACACAUGCAAGUCGAACGAAGGCUUCGGCCUUAGUGGCGCACGGGUGCGUAACGCGUGGGAACCUGCCCCCUCGGUUCGGAAUAACAGUUAGAAAUGACUGCUAAUACCGGAUGAUGACUUCGGUCCAAAGGUUUAUCGCCGAGGGAUGGGCCCGCGUAGGAUUAGCUAGUUGGUGGGGUAAAGGCCUACCAAGGCGACGAUCCUUAGCUGGUCUGAGAGGAUGAUCAGCCACACUGGGACUGAGACACGGCCCAGACUCCUACGGGAGGCAGCAGUGGGGAAUAUUGGACAAUGGGCGCAAGCCUGAUCCAGCCAUGCCGCGUGAGUGAUGAAGGCC
rnacentral:rRNA from 1 species